CUCGCACGGUCCCCGCAGAGCCCCGAGACUAGCCACCCCGGCUCGGCCCUGCAUCCCGGAGCGCCACCGCGGGCUCCCGACACCCCGCCCCACCCCCGGCGCGCGUCCCGAGCCCCGCCCGCGCGCCCGGCAGGAAAGGGCGGUCCUGCGCUGCCGCCCACACUCGCUCGCGCCGUCGGACUCUGGGCCUGGACCGCGCGUGACCGGCGCCGCGAGCGAGAGGCAUGAGCGCGCGCCCGGGCCAGUGAGCGGCUCGGGGAUGGACUGCGGCUCGGUCGGCGGCCAGAGGACCCAGCGCCUGCCCGGCCGCCGGCGGCUUUUCUUCUUGCCCGCGGGCCUCAGCGGAAGACCGGGCGGCAGCGAAACCUCAGCACGCCGCUGCCUCUCUGCGCUCUCCGACGGUCUGGGGGCGCUGCGGUCUCGCGCCCCGGCGGCCCGCGGCGGCGUGUCACGUGCCUCGCCGCUGCUCCUCCUCCUGCUAGUGCCCUCCCCGCGCUUGGCCGCCGCAGCCCCGCGCCGGCAGCUCGGGGACUGGGAGCGUUCGCGCCUCGGGUGUGCCGCACCCCCGGCCGGGCGCAGCGGCGCGUGGAGGUGCUCACCGCGCCUCGGCCCGGGCGUCGCCGCUGCCGCCGGCGCCCUUCCCCAGUACCACGGCCCGGCGCCUGCACGCGUUUCCUGCAGGAGAGAGCUAAGCCUGUCUGCUGGAUCCCUGCAGCUGGAGCGCAAAAGGAGAGAUUUCACCUCCUCUGGGAGUAGGAAACUCUACUUCGACACUCAUGCCUUAGUGUGCUUACUGGAAGACAAUGGGUUUGCUACUCAACAAGCAGAAAUCAUUGUGUCCUCAUUGGUCAAGAUCCUGGAGGCCAACAUGGACAUCGUCUACGAAGAUAUGGUCACCAAGAUGCAGCAGGAAAUCACUUUUCAGCAAGUAAUGUCUCAGAUUGCGAAUGUGAAAAAGGAUAUGAUUAUUUUGGAGAAGAGUGAAUUUUCAGCCCUCAGAGCAGAAAAUGAGAAAAUAAAACUUGAACUACAUCAGUUAAAACAACAAGUAAUGGAUGAAGUGAUCAAAGUCCGAACAGAUACCAAAUUAGACUUCAACCUAGAAAAGAGCAGAGUAAAAGAAUUGUAUUCAUUGAACGAAAAGAAGCUGCUGGAAUUGAGAACAGAAAUAGUGGCAUUGCAUGCCCAGCAAGAUCGGGCCCUUACUCAGACAGACAGGAAGAUCGAAACUGAGGUUGCUGGCCUCAAAACCAUGCUUGAGUCACACAAGCUUGAUAAUAUUAAAUAUUUAGCAGAUGGAGUCUCUCACUGUCGCCCAGGCUGGAGUGCAGUGGCAUAAUCUCAGCUCAAUGCAAUCUCCACCUCCCGCAUUCAAGUGAUUCUCCUGCCUCAGCCUCCAGAGUAGCUGGGACUACAGUAGAGACGGAGUUUCACCAUGUUGGCCAGGAUGGUCUCGAUCUCUUGACCUUGUGAUCUGCCUGCCUCUGCCUCCCAAAGUGCUGGGAUUACAGGUGUGAACCCCCACGCCCAGCUGAUUGUUCAUCUUUCCCAGAGGUUCACACAGAAACCAAGCUCUUCUAAGACUUCAGGUGGGCCUAUAAUACUGCCUGUGGACACCCCACGCCACAUCAUAUUAGACAUAUUAAAAUGUGUCCAAAUCCUAAAUUAAAUAUAAUUUCGUGGUAUAGUUUUGAAAGAA